rnacentral:rRNA from 1 species
CCUACGGGUGGCAGCAGUGAGGAAUAUUGGUCAAUGGCCGGAAGGCUGAACCAGCCAUGCCGCGUGAAGGUCAGUGCCCUAUGGGCGUUAAACUUCUUUUGUGCGGGAGCAAUAAUGGUCACGUGUGGCAAUACGAGAGUACCGUACGAAUAAGCAUCGGGUAACACCGUGCUAGCAGCCGGGGUAAUACGGGGGAUGCAAGCGUUAUCCGGAUUUAUGGGGUUUAAAGGGUGAGGAGGCUGUGAGGUAAGUCAGCGGUGAAAUGCCCCCGGUCAACGGGGUGAGGUGCCAUUGAUACUGCCUGGCUGGAAUGCGGAUGCCGUGGGAGGAAUGUGUGGUGUAGCGGUGAAAUGCAUAGAUAUCACACAGAACACCGAUUGCGAAGGCAUCUCACGAAUCCGCGAUUGACGCUGAUGCACGAAAGCGUGGGUAUCAAACAGGAUUAGAUACCCCUGUAGUC